GUGCUCACUUCAGCAGCACAUAUACUAAAAUUGGAACGACACAGAGAAGAUUAGCAUGGCCCCUGCACAAAGAUGACAUGCGAAUUCAUGGUGUUCAUUUUUU
ensembl:snRNA U6 U6 spliceosomal RNA